UACGGAGGGGGUUAGCGUUGUUCGGAAUUACUGGGCGUAAAGCGCACGUAGGCGGAUUAGUAAGUUAGAGGUGAAAUCCCAGGGCUCAACCCUGGAACUGCCUUUAAUACUGCUAGUCUUGAGUUCGAGAGAGGUAAGUGGAAUUCCAAGUGUAGAGGUGAAAUUCGUAGAUAUUUGGAGGAACACCAGUGGCGAAGGCGGCUUACUGGCUCGAUACUGACGCUGAGGUGCGAAAGUGUGGGGAGCAAACAGG
rnacentral:rRNA from 2 species